rnacentral:rRNA from 1 species
GACGAACGCUGGCGGCGUGCUUAACACAUGCAAGUCGAACGCGCCUGUCCUCUGGGUUUCUGGGGGGUGGGUGAGUGGCGAACGGGUGAGUAACACGUGAGUAACCUGCCCCCUUCUUCGGGAUAACGGUCUGAAAGGGCUGCUAAUACCGGGUAUUCACUGGUCUCCGCAUGGGGUCUGGUGGAAAGGUUUUUUUCUGGUGGGGGAUGGGCUCGCGGCCUAUCAGCUUGUUGGUGGGGUGAUGGCCCACCAAGGCUUUGACGGGUAGCCGGCCUGAGAGGGUGACCGGUCGCAUUGGGACUGAGAUACGGCCCAGACUCCUACGGGAGGCAGCAGUGGGGAAUAUUGCACAAUGGGCGCAAGCCUGAUGCAGCGACGCCGCGUGAGGGAUGGAGGCCUUCGGGUUGUGAACCUCUUUCGCCCGUGGUCAAGCCGCGACGGGGGCCGUGGUGAGGGUAGUGGGUAAAGAAGCGCCGGCUAACUACGUG